AUUAUCAAAAAAUUCUAGUAGUUUAGUGGUUGGAGUAUUAGUUUCCAACUCUAAAGUACUGAGUUCGAAUCUUAUUGAUAACA